UGUAGCCACACCACUUUAAUACAUCUGUGCAUUUUUCUUGUGCCUUGCACAUGCUUUUGGACACACCAGCCUCUACCCAAUGGACAAUCAGAGGCAGGCCCAAGGGUGUCUUGAACAUUACCUAGGACUUUGCAGGAAAAUGUGCAUUCACUUAUUAUAUGCAGACUUCCAUUAGAGAAAGAACAGCACAACUUCUGACGCAAAAGGUAAUUCUGCUGUGAAAACAAUGGAAGAUUGUAACAAUGCUCACAUAUUCAAACAAUAGGACUGCUAGCAAAUUUUUAAAAAGCUGAAUUAGUUAUAGCAAACUUGGAGAGUGGAGUGGAGAAAUGAACACUGGAGUCGGAACGCAAGAACUGUAAAGCACUGAUUGUUUUUUAAAGAUAAGGUGAUAUCUCAAAGAAGUGUGACUCUGAGAUUGUAUUUCUCCAUGUAUAAGAACUUCCACCGCGUUAAGUGUAGGAUGAAUGAAUGCUUUAGUAGUUAUAAAGUUCAGUGCAUGACUAGGAAUCUAGUCCCAGCUCUGUUGACAUCUUUCUACUUACACAUUAAUGUGACUAUGUAUACAGCUAUACUCACAGUGAUAUUUAAUGGCUCUUAUUUCCUUAGCAUGAAACAUUUAGAAAUUUGAAAAGCUAUACAUCUUUCAUUUAUGUUUCCAUUUCUCAUUGGAAGACCUAGUUGCCACAAAGAGCCUGUGUCUGGACUGCUCCACUCCAGAGUGCUUGUGGAAUGUUUCCUCAUGAGAAAGGGUCCCUAAACAUAGAAAACUAACAUGUCAGGGUGAUGGCUAAGCUAGAACUCUUCUCCCUGACAAGGUGAUUUCUACACACAGAGAUGUGCCACUGCCAAAUGAGCUGAAGCAAGUGGCUACUAAGGAGAGGGCCUUUUAAGUGGUUGCACCCCAUUUGUAGAAUAGCUUCCCCAGUGAGGUUUGCCUGGCUUCAUCACUUUGUACUUUUAGAUGCUAGGUGAAGACACUUUCAUUCACUCAGGCAUUAAAAAAAAUAAAAUCUUUAAAAUAUUGAUUUGUUUGUAACUGAUUUUUUUAAAAGGUUUUUAAAUUGUAUUGUUCUUGUUGCAUUUU